rnacentral:lncRNA from 1 species
CCAUCCACUCCUCGAACACAACCACUUUACAUCUAUGAUUCCUACCCCUCUCCUCAGGACACUCAUGCCUCUCCAGAAGGAAACCCUCAGAGACGUCUGGACAGACGACAGGUCUCAAGAAAGUCAAGAUGUGUCCACUCCACAUAAGAUAAUGCUUUCUAUAAGCCAAAGAAGAAGGCAGAGUCAGCCAACCCAGCCACCAAUGGUGCCGACGCCAAGCCCAAAAAGAGCAAGAACAAGAAGAGCGAAGAACUGUCUGGAGAAGAGAGUCCUGCUGUUCAAAGUACGGACUGCUCUGCACAGUUUAAAUAACAGAAUCUUCAAAUGAGACAUACGCAAAUUAUUGUUUAAAAGUUCGCCAACAAUUUGGCAAAAUGCUGGUGAUCCACAAAUAAAUAAUUUCUAUCUGAGAUAGUGUGCAGUAUCCAAAUGUGAUGAAUAAAUAUGGCUAUCGCUCAAAAUAUGAAUUUCUUAGGAGGUCAUCUCUCAAUUCUGUUUUUUUUGGGGGGUCAAAUAGGUGGAAAAAAGGUAAAGAAAAAGAAACCAGAUGAAGAAAAAACAGAAAAGGAAAAAGUGAAAGGGAAAGAGAAAGAAGAGCCAAAGAAGAAAACAAAAAGUGUGCCAAAGAAAAAGAGAGGUAAGCAGUCAGCAAUAUAACUGAGAUGAUGCUCUGCGUGAACUGCAUGUUAAAGAAUCAACAUUUAUUUCAAACCCAAUAAAAAAGUCCCCUUUUCUGCUCAAGGUUCAGAUACAGAAGAAGAUGAUGAUGAGGAAGAGACUCCACAAAAGAAGACAAAGAAAAAGACCACCAAAGAUGGUUCUGACAAAGAUGGCAAGGAUAAGAAAUCCAAAGCUAAAGGUGGGCAGAUGUAUAGGAGUUACUAAAACAACAAGAAUACGACAUGGUUUAAGAGGAUUAGAUAGAAGAUUUCUUUGCGAAAUGUUGAGUGAAAGGAAACACU